CACAAAGAAUGUAAUUUGCCGACCAGUUGUACAAUCCUCCGAAGCUACGCAUCAAUGGCUUCCCCUCCAAAGGUACAACUCUCUCUAGCACUGAUCUCCCUGUUCUUCCUCUCGUCAGCCCACGUCUCUGUUUCAACGGCUGAUGUGCAUGACCUCCUCCCGCUGUACCACCUUCCGAAGGGUCUCCUUCCCCGAGAAAUCAAAUCUUAUUCCCUCUCCAACACCGACAAUUCCUUCACCAUCGAACUCAGUUCAAACCCUUGUUAUGUCAGAUUCGAUGGUCAGCUUGUCUACUAUGACAAGAUCAUUAAAGGGAAGUUGGGACAAGGUACAGUGACGGACGUUUCAGGGAUUCAGGCCAAGAAAUUGUUCAUUUGGGUGUCUGUAACGGGGAUUGAUGUGGAUGAGAAGAACGAUAUGAUUGAAUUUCAUGUGGGUGCUCUAUCCGAGAAGCUGCCUGCUAAAGAUUUUCAGGAUGUUCAUAGUUGCAAGGCUAAAGGACUUCGAGAGCCCUUUUCAUUUCUUGAAGCGUUAAUUUGAGAUCCAAGCCGCAUCACAGAUGCUGUCAAGCUACUCAUGUAAAGUGAAGCCUAGGUUCGUUGAUGCUCAUACCGUGAUAGCAUUGGGGAUCUGGUUUUAACUUGCACCACUGUGAUUAUGCUGUAAUGGAGCCGUUGUAUCAAAACUAUGAGAGGGGGUGUUGAUGUUCCUACAUCAGAUCCUAUUGUAUUGCAAUAUCUUGAUUUUCACCAACUUCUGAUGUCUAUAAUCUCAAACUUGUUUUCCCAUUGUGCCAUGUGAAAAAUAAUCCAUCUCACCAGUGAA